UACGGUCAUAUCACCUUGAAACACUGGUUCUCGUAUGAUCCCCGGAGUUAAUCAACGUUGAUCCCGAUCAGUACCUAGAUGGGUGACUGUUGGGGAACACCGGGUGCUGU